GGGCCAUAGCUCAGUGGGAGAGCAUCUGUCUUGCAUGUAGAAGGUCCCAGGUUCUAUCCCUGGCCUCUCCA